CCGCAGAGACGAUGGAAGUGAACCACAUCAAUUUGUGUCAAAUUGUCCUUACUCAAACUUCUUCAACGAACAAGAAAGUGAAGAGCAUAUGUUUUUUAAAUACAUUUGUUUUUAAAAAUGAAGUGCACUACAGAGUCUUUCGAAGUGGACUUUUUUAAGAUCGGAGGGUACUGCAUUUCCCUCUUUCCGGCCAGUGGACUACAUUACAUUACAUUCCCCUGGAUUGCAAAAGUAACAUAGUGGACUACAUUACAUUUGUUUCUAUACUGCACUGGUCCCCCGCUCGUGAGUGGUAGGAGAAAUUAUACAUGGGGAGUGGAAGGUGGCAGUGCCAUGGGGGAUUUGGAUCCAGUGUGACAAACUUCACGACGUGUCCCAGUGCACUUCUCUGGAACAUGAUGCUCGGUGUUCUGGACUGCUUUGGUGACCUGCCAAACUGCAUCAGGGGCACUCGGCACUGAUCGCACAGGAGCACAGUUCACAUAUUCUUUUUUUUAUGUUCUUCCCCCUCCUCCAAAAAAUUGGCAAACCGCAAGAACAUGAAUAGCAAAGUGUAGUGUGCUUAAUUUUUCGUAUCAAAAAUAAUAAAAGUAAACUGAACAAUAAACAAACAAAUUGAGGUUUGGGCAUUUUUUCCAAGUAACAUACUGCAAGCGAGAUCAUGAAAACCAAACGAACUGCACACAAGUGCACGAUGGCAGUGAAGCAAGUAAAAUGCAUGGCACAAGCAUCCACACUGCAGCGUCGCACAAACGGAAACCGAACUCCCACAUGCCAGGGAACUGUAUGCCCAUCGUCCUCUCAAGUCGCUGUGUAUUGCACGGAUGACCCAACCGAGCUGAAGUGAAGAGCAACCUGCACUGCUCGCCCGGAGCCAUUGAACUGCAAGGCGCUGGUGUCGUCUACGACGACGGCGUGGACAGCACCGUGAUCGAGAAAUGGGGUGGCAAACUGCUAUGCGGCAAGGUGUGCACUGCACGCGCAAGAGGAGGCAUGAUGGAGUUGACCCGGGGGGGCUCGUUGUCGUGAUGACCGCCCUGGCCUUGACGCUACAGUGGUGGGACGCGAUGAGAGUGCACCACGGCCUCCACCGGAGUGCACUGCAGCUCAGAACUCCACCAUGCGAGCUGCCCAGCUGUUUUGCGAUGCAUCCUGCAACAAAGAGGUAGCCAGGGCACGGGGUGUGUGUGUGUGCUGCGGCCAAACCAACGAAAUAGAUCGGCCAUGGCUGCGACCACCUCGAAGGACAAAAAACGAAAAACGAACCGCAUACCCGUGUUGCUCCAACCGCUAGCAGCUCUCCGGCGUACUGCAUGUCCACACCGAAGUAGGACUUUGUUGGUGCCGAACUGAAGUGGACACUGGUGGUGGCUCGCUGUCAGCCUCUGGCGGCGCUUGCGCGCGGGGGGGGAGGGUGGAUGUGAUGGAGACGAUGGCCUCUCGCCGGAGCCGAGGCGGAGCUCAGUGAGAUGAGGAGGGGCGAUGCGACCAGGGUGACCAGAUCUGAGGCCGGUGCUGCCAGAUCCGAGCUUGGUGUGGAGGAGGUCGCCCGCGUGGUGGUCGACCCGGACUACGCCGGCUGGAUGUGGCAGUGGGGCAUCGCGGGGGGCCACCGCAGCCUGGCUCCGGCAGCGGGGCGUUACGAAGGGCCGCCGCGGCCUGGCUUCGGGAGUGGGGUGUCGUCGGGUGGCGUCGCAGCUUGGAUCCGGCGCCAGGACGUUGUGGGGGCCCGCCUCAGCCUGGAUUCGACUGAGGCUCGUGCUAGGAGGUUGCCGGGGGAGGGCUGGCUCGCCGGUGAGGAGAGGAAGGCCGCGGGCUGGGCUGGGGCGCAGGAAUCGGCGCCGGUUGCGGCAGUGGGGGAAGAGAGGGAGGUGGCGCGAUGGUGGGGAGGGGGAGAGACGAGGAAGGUUGAUGGGUGGGCUCACGCCAGUUUGGGACACCUAGGUGCUGGGCACCUUGCCUCUUCAUCGUUGGAUCGUGU
rnacentral:rRNA from 1 species